UUUUACCUUAGUUUUUCAUCAGGUACCUACAUUCACUAUACAAAAAGAAAAAAAAAACAAGAGUUCUUAAAUUCCAGCGAAUUUCUACAGCAAAACACCCACAAAUUUGUCUCUGAAAUCCAACAAAUUCGGCCAAAAACUUGCGUUUCCCCAGCAAAUUUAACAUCUGAAAUCGCAGUGAAGUCGAAGACCCAUAAUCGGCUGCAAAUUCGAGCAAUUUCGAGCAAAAAUUUAGACCAAAAACCCUAAGAAAUUCGAAGCCUUAAACCCAGAAAAAUUGAUUGUUUCCGACCAAAAAUCCCCCAUUUCGAGCAAAAAAUCAACUCAAAAGCAUACAAAUUCGAAUCCUAAAAGCCCCAAAAAAUUCAAUUUCGGUCUUCAAGUUCGAUUGGGGGAUUUCUAGGGUUUUUGGCAGCGACGCAAUAUACCCUAAGAAAUUCGUCCCAUUUCAGUCAUAAAUAAUUUUUGUUCGAAUUUCAGUCAAGAAAUUACAGCAACAAUAGGUUAAGUCAAGAAAUUACAGCAACAAUAAUUGUUUGAAUUACGUCUUUUUCUGGGUUCAAGUCAAGAAAUUACAGCAACAAAAAUUCGAGCAAUAACUGAAAUUUUCGAGUGGAAAAAUCGCUUAAUUUCGCCCCAAAAAACCCGAGGAAAUUCAAGCAAAUUACAGCAACAACAAUUGAAGUUCGAUUUCGGCUCGACAUUGUUGAAUUUUUGAAGUCAAUUCCACCUAUGUACUUGGAUGAAAACAAGUCUUUGAUUCUGAAGAUUGUGGAAAGCCAGAAUUCGGGGAAGAUUAAUGAGUGUGCUGAGUAAGCUUUAUUUGCAAACUUUGGCUAUUCUUACAUGAUUCAUAAUUGUGUCUCUGCUUGGUAAUUUUGCAAACUAGUGCGAAAUGGUGGUAUGCAAAACGAUUUCUACAUCCUGACAUUGUGGCACCAUAUGAUUACAUAUUUAUCUGGGACGAAGAUUUGGGAGUGGAUAAUUUUGAUUCUGAAAAAUACGUUGAUUUGGUUAAGAAACAUGGUUUGGAAAUUUCACAGCCUGGUGUGGAUCCUAAUAGUCCGUUUACAUGGCAGAUGACAAGGAAAAGACAUGACAGUGAAGUUCACAAGUAAUAACUACAAAUGAUGAGCACAGAGGAGAAACCAGGAUGUUAAAUUUCAGUUAAAUUGUUCAAUUUUUGCUACAAAAAUGGAGAAUGAUUCUUCCAAGAAAAUUGAAGUUUCUGCCCUAAACCCCAAUUUACAAUCAAGAGGUGCUUUGGUUGUAUUAGAAGGGUUAGAUCGAAGUGGAAAGAGCUCUCAGUGUAUUCAGCUUCUCUCUCACUUGCAAAGUAUUGGGUAUUCUGCUGAGUUAUGGCGGUUUCCGGAUCGAAAUACUGCUGUUGGGCAGAUGAUCUGUGCUUAUCUUUCCAAUCAAUCUAAUUUGGAUGAUCAUACUAUUCAUCUUUUGUUCAGUGCUAAUCGUUGGGAGAAAAGGUUGUUUCUUUUUUCUUUUUAUGAUUGUUUUUUUAUACAUAAUUUGUGAGUUGCAUACCAUGUGUUUGAUGUUAUGUUUAGCUGAAUCUAAUUCCUUUCUAUGUUGUUAUUUAUUGGUUAAUUUAUUUGGUAAGAUCUGAGACAUGGCUGUUAAACCAAAUCUUAGUUUUUUCAUAGCUUGCAUCAGACUGUACAAUUUUGGUAAGGCUGUAAGGUUAAUAGGUUUGACAGUGGUGACUUUAUCUUGCAUAGUGUCAUUAUAGUGAUGCCUGCAAUACAUGUAGUGCAGGUUAUACUAAUUUUCUUUUACUUAAACAUGUUCCAGUUUCUUGCAAUGUUCUUUUUAUUUUUGUAAAUUAUGUUUUUUAACUAGAUUAUGUGAGAUAGUUGCUGUUUCAUCAAAUUCCGUAAUAAUGCCAUCUAGAUUUUCAUACGAUGCUGAAUGA